rnacentral:misc_RNA from 1 species
CUCUUUGCAUACUUGUCUUUGCUCUGUAAGCUGCUCCCUUUUUGUGCUUUUUCUGUAUACAUAACUUACUUCCUCUCUAUUUUUUUUUUCUUUUGGGUCCCUCCCACAAAAAAAAAAAAAAAAAAAAAAAAAAAAAUCAUGAAGGCCUCACUGGAAAACAUAGAACUUAAUGAUAAUUGUGAAGGCUUUGCCGCUGAUAAGCACACAAAUCUGGAGACUGCUGGAACAGAGGCCAUUUAUGAUGGCAAUAGGAAUACUCUCCAAGCAACUUCUCCACAGCUCAGAAAGGGGCCUUUGGAGACAAAGAUUUGCAGAGAUCAACAAGGAGGCUCUUGUACGCG